GCGUGUCCGGACCGGGGGGGGUCUUAGUGGGGGGUCUGGGUCUGGAGUCGAUAUGGGAAUGUAAUAUAGUCCCUGAUCCUCAGACACAAAGCAAAAGCUGUGAUGGGGUGUGUGUGUGUGUGUGUGUGUGUGUGUGUGUGUGUGUGUGUGUGUGUGUGUGUGGGUGUGGGUGUGGGUGUAUGUGUGUGUGUCGACAGUACAUUUGUGAAGCAUCUACAUUCUGCGUUGAUCGCUUUUAAAACUGAAACUGAGCAUUGUUUCCGGAGCUUUGAUGCUGAUUUAAAAAGAAACAAGACACACAAACGGAAGCUGGGGUUUGCUUUUCAAAGUUCAACCCUGAUGCACGCUGCUCGCGUAUCACCAAAUCCUGGAGGUAGUCCAUUUCGCCCACUCAUUAUUUUCUGACUUCAAAGUCUUUCGUGCAGCUAAUGAAUAACUGAAUUCCCACCGGUGAAUGUAGAAAACUUUAUGUACACGCUUACAAAUUACGUCAUUGUGAAGUGACUGUAAAGGGCUGCUUGUUUUGUGUAAUGAUACAUCUCCCUUCCAGCAAUUACUAACCUUAACCUGGCGGACCUACUUCAACUUGGGGGGGGGGGGGGGGGGAUAUGUAUUGAAGAGGAAACGCAAUUAUGUUGAUAAUUGAACUAAUUAACUGUAUUACGUGUGUGUGUGUGUGUGUGAGUGUGUGUGUGUGUGUGUGUGUGUGUGUGUGUGUGUGUACGCAUCUGUGUAUGCAUGAGUGUGCAUGAUUAUGACAUUAUCUACCCUCUUGUGUCUGUCCAACAACCAGUAGUAGAACAGUAAUGAAGACUAAAUUACAUAUAUUUAACACUUAAAACACCCUAAAAAAUAUCCUUUCCAAGUUUCACUUUUUCUCCAUCCUUUAGAAUCUAGUAUGUUUCUGGUAUGUUUCUGUUCGCUUAUUUCGGCUUUCAUCUUUUUUUAAUUGCAUGUCUAUUCAAUUUAUUCGAAGCUUGUUGAAAGAUGUUUUUUGUCCUAAUUUUUGCCUGGGUUUGACUGUUAGCUUUCACUAAAUGCUGAAAGAGCACGGUGAAUUUGUUUUCAAUAUACACACACACACACACACACACACACACACACACACACACACACACACACACACACACACACACACACACACACACACACACACACACACACACACA